GGAGAUGUGGCCGAGUGGUCGAAGGCGCUCCCCUGCUAAGGGAGUAGGCGGGAAACCGCCUCGAGGGUUCGAAUCCCUUCGUCUCCGCCA
rnacentral:tRNA from 1 species